AACCCAAUCCUCGCGACACACAAAAGCGCUUCCCGAUCCUCUCGCUCCUUUAAAAAGCGCUUCUCGUUUGGGCGCCAUUCCAACGCUAAAGCUCCCUCCUCUCCUCUCCCUCGCCCUCGCCCUCGCCCUCUCUCUCUCCCUCUCCCGCUUCCUCUGAUCUCUCUUAGCAAUCCGCCAUUUCUAGGGUUUCGGAGCUCUGAAUUUAGGGUUUCGUGAGCUGGUAGAGUGUGUUUCGCCGUCG
rnacentral:lncRNA from 1 species